GUUCCGCCCAGAGGCAGGACCCAACUGGGGUUAUGGGGGCGUUGGCACCCAAUACCAGGGCCCAAUGGGCGAGCGACUGGGAUCUUCUCGGGAUCAGCUGAUGGAGGCACUGCUGGGAGGCGAGGAGGUGCUGGAGGACCAGCUGUGUGAAGGACGACGCUGUACCGCCAAUGAGCAGUGUUGUGGCGGCCACAUCUGCGUCGAGUUCGAUGGAGCCUCGGGGACCUGUAUGAACUCCAUGGGUCAGAGGGAGGGGUCAGCGUGCGUGAGUGACAAUGAGUGUUCAUCCGGACUCAUCUGUGACCUUGGUGCCUGCGUCCAGAUCCUCGGCAAGAAACGCUACAACGAGCCUUGUACCGUCAGCUCUGAAUGUGAGGUUGGUCGAGGCUUGUGCUGUCAGGUCGUUCGCCGUCACCGCCAGGCGCCAAAGACGCUGUGUGGCUACUUCAAGGACCCAAUGAUCUGCAUCGGCCGCGUCGCAGCUGACCAGGUAAAGACUGAGCCCAGCAAGCAGUAAGGUUCUUCACCGGUGUGUCUUCUCCCUCCCUUCCUGGUCCUGAAGGGUCCGGGACCCUGUGGAACACAUGAUGGAGCAUACCAAAGGAGAGAAGAGACUCACAGGCAAGAACCACGACUAUGACAACAUCUAGGGUGGCCCUCUAAUCCAUCCCUUGCCACCCUAAACCAACCUUCACCACCCUAAACCAACCCUCAUCACCCUAAACCAACCCUCACCACCCUAAACCAACCCUCACCACCCUAAACCAACCAUCACCUAAACCAACCCUCAACCACCCUCCAACCCUCAUCACCCUAAACCAACCACACCCCAAUUAUCGCACGGCCUAACCAAUCCCCUAAUCCGCCCCCAUACCCGACUUCAUUAAACCUUCCAAUCCUUACCCACAACGCCUACCCAUCACCCAAUCCUACCUUACCUACCACACCAACCCCUACCCAACACAAUACCCAUCCCCCAAUACACAAUCUCCACCCUUGGGAAUUCUUAGACGUGACUUGAGUGAAGAGGACAAGGGGAGGAAGAUGGACCUUGUAUCUCAGCAUACAUCACCCAACAGACGCCAUCAAUGCAGCACACCCGUCUCCUCACCCAGAGAGUCAUCAGCAGGAACGAGCUCAGUUCCUGCUAACAUAUUUUUUUCCUCUUUUAUUGAAUUACUUUCAAACUUACGCUUUAGAAAUAAGGAAUUUUUCUGUCAUGAUGUUAAACAAACCACUUCGUUAUCAUUUAAGGCAGUACUGUUAAAUUGGUUUGUUAAACUAUCCUAAACAAUCUGUUUUGAUAAGUUUUUAUUAUUGUUUUGACUAUUUGUGAAGAAGAGUUUUUUGAGUAGCAUUAUAGCAGUGUGGGAAGCAUUAUAGCAGUGUGGGAAGCAUUAUAUCAGUGUGGGAAGCAUUAUAUUAGUGUGGGAAGUAUUAUAGCAGUGUGGGAAGCAUUAUAGCAGUGUAUAAAGCAUUAUAGAAGUGUGGGAAGGAGUAUAGCAGUGUGGGAAGCAUUAUAUCAGUGUGGGAAGCAUUAUAGCAGUGUGGGAAGCAUUAUAGCAGUGUGGGAAGCAUUAUAGCAGUGUGGGAAGCAUUAUAGCAGUAUGGGAAGCAUUAUAGCAGUAUGGAAGCAUUAUAUCAGUGUGGGAAGUAUUAUAUCAGUGUGGGAAGCAUUAAACCAUUGUGGGAAGCAUUAUAGUAAUGUUUGGAAGCAUUAUAUCAGUAUGGGAAGCAUUAUAUCAGUCCCAGUGACGCAUGUGACGUCAGAUUACCAUCACCCCUACUGCUGCUCAAGCGUCACCCUCGAACAAGUGAAGUUUAAGAAUUCUAUGAACCUAAAUAGUUUUUUCCCCUUUCGGUAAGAGAUUAAGUGUCAAGUCUAAAUAGUUUCCUGAAGUAAUUAGUACCACAUCUCGUUGCAUCUAUGUGUAUAUCUUGAGUCUUGGUGGGCAUACUGUCAAUCACACAAUUUAGUACAUAUCUAAGCAAUUGGGAAAGGCUCCUAGAUCCCAAGAUUAAGAAUCAGGAUUAGAAAAAAUGGUAAAUAAUAGAUAGGCUACAGGAUCAUAACAGAAGGACGGUCAAUAUUUCGUUCGUGUUAGGCACUUCGAUUCCAUGUUGGGUAAUAAUCCAGGUGUUCCAACCCCCAAACUCAUGCCAGCUAUGAGCUCGGUACCUAUGUUUAUUGUUCCCCUUGUCGUCUAUAGUCCGACACUCAUUAUAAAGCAUGGGAGUGGGCGUUGGGUAGAAAAUGGAGUACCUUUGUGUGGCAAACUAUUCUAAUUAUUAUUAAUCAUUAAUAUCGGUGUCUUAAGACUGUAUAGUCGGUAACCAAUAGACUAAGUAUUAUCGCAGGCAUGGUGUUUCCUUGUGGCGUGCUCGUUAUAUAGUCUGUCUGUGCUGGCCCAAGCAGCUAGCUCUCUCUCUCCAUUUGGUCAUUACUAUUAUUAAACCUUUCGGCAGACAUUUGUGCAUAUUGGGCCUUCCUCGCCAGGUUGGGGGAGGGUAUAGUGCGCUCUGAACGCCACCUUGGGACACAGCCUCGCGUCGGCUCUCUUCCAACGUGGUUGUCUGACACCCAAUUUGUCCAAUUUAGGCAGAUGAAUACACUGAAUAAAUGUGAAUGAAAUUCCUCACGCAUCUUUCUCUCCUACAUCUUAACCAUAAUUGUAUACUAAUUCUCACUAAUUCUAGCAAAUGAUAUCUUGCAUGGCAACUCACUGAUCUUAAGCAGAGUGACUAUUAUACAACUUUUGAUAACUUUUAGGCAACUUUUGACAACAUGUUUAAUCUAUCAAGAAAUACUAUCGAUAUCUUACUCAUCAAGACCAAGGUGCUUGUGUCGUCACUGGGAAAAGUGACGUCAGAUGAUAUCAUAUCAGAGCUGUUAAUCUCUUCCCAUAUAAUUGUUGUAUUAUUAUGUAUGAUCUUAUAUGUGGAUUAUUAAAGAUGUUUUAAGUGC